rnacentral:rRNA from 1 species
CCCUUAGAUGUUCUGGGCCGCACGCGCGCUACACUGUUCGACGCAGCGAGUCUUAACCUUGACCGAAAGGUUUGGGUAAUCUUCAGCAAAGUCGAACGUGAUGGGGAUCGAUCAUUGCAAUUAUUGAUCGUGAACGAGGAAUUCCUAGUAAGUGCAAGUCAUCAGCUUGCGCCGAUUACGUCCCUGCCCUUUGUACACACCGCCCGUCGCUACUACCGAUUGAAUGGUUUAGUGAGAUCUCUGGAUUGACGCUGGCUAGGGGGCGACCCUUGGCCAGACUGUUGAGAAACUGCUCAAACUUGAUCAUUUAGAGGAAGUAAAAGUCGUAACA